AGAGUUUUAUCCUGGCUCAGGAUGAACGCUAGCUACAGGCUUAACACAUGCAAGUCGAGGGGCAGCAUAUAGAUAGCUUGCUAUUUAUGAUGGCGACCGGCGCACGGGUGAGUAACGCGUAUCCAACCUUCCCCAUAGUAGGGUAUAGCCCGGCGAAAGUCGGAUUAAUCCCCUAUGUUGUUUGAAGCGGACAUCUAAUUCAAACCAAAGAUUCAUCGCUAUGGGAUGGGGAUGCGUCUGAUUAGGUUGCAGGCGGGGUAACGGCCCACCUGGCCGACGAUCAGUAGGGGUUCUGAGAGGAAGGUCCCCCACACUGGUACUGAGACACGGACCAGACUCCUACGGGAGGCAGCAGUGAGGAAUAUUCGUCAAUGGGGGAAACCCUGAACGAGCAAUGCCGCGUGAAUGAUGACGGUCCUCUGGAUUGUAAAAUUCUGUUGUUGAGGAAGAACGUCUUGUAUAGGAAAUGAUACAGGAGUGACGGUACUCUUCAAGAAAGCUCCGGCUAACUACGUGCCAGCAGCCGCGGUAAUACGUAGGGAGCGAGCGUUAUCCGAAUUUAUUGGGUGUAAAGCGUGUGUAGGCGGUUUAAUAAGUCUAAGGUUUAAGUCCGAAGCUUAACUUCGGUUCGCCUUGGAAACUGUUUUACUUGAAUGCGGUAGAGGCAAGUGGAAUUUCUAGUGUAGCGGUAAAAUGCUUAGAUAUUAGAAGGAACACCAGUGGCGAAGGCGACUUGCUGGGCCGUGAUUGACGCUGAGACACGAAAGCGUGGGGAGCAAAUAGGAUUAGAUACCCUAGUAGUCCACGCCGUAA
rnacentral:rRNA from 1 species